GUAGUUAGCCGGGGCUUCCUCCUAAGCUACCGUCACUUCCUUCGUCACUUAGGACAGAGGUUUACAACCCGAAAGCCUUCUUCCCUCACGCGGCGUUGCUGGGUCAGGCUUGCGCCCAUUGCCCAAUAUUCCCCACUGCUGCCUCCCGUAGGAGUCUGGACCGUGUCUCAGUUCCAAUGUGGCCGAUCACCCUCUCAGGUCGGCUACCCAUCGUCGCCUUGGUGGGCCGUUACCUCACCAACUAGCUAAUGGGACGCGAACUCACCCCAAACCGGAUUGCUCCUUUUACCCCGUUGCCAUGCGACAUCGUGGUCUUAUGCGGUAUUAGCACCUGUUUCCAAGUGUUAUCCCCCUGUCUGGGACAGAUUGUUCACGCGUUACUCACCCGUCCGCCGCUAGAAUUAUCUCUGUGCAAGCACUUCCUUAAUCCCCGCUCGACUUGCAUGUGUUAAGCACGCCGCCAGCGUUCGUCCUGAGCCAGAAUCGAAACCCUCGUACGUACGUAGACGGGCGGUCGGUCGGACGGACGGCCGACUAG
rnacentral:rRNA from 1 species